GACGAACCGUGCGAACGUUAUUCGGAAUCACUGGGCUUAAAGCGCGUGUAGGCGGGACGGCACGUCGGUCGCUGAAAUCCCCCGGCUCAACCGGGGAACGGGCGCCGAUACGACCGCCCUGGAGGGGCGUAGGGGGACCUGGAACUUCCGGGUGUGGUGGUGAAAUGCGUAGAGAUCCGGAGGAACCCCAGAGGCGAAGGCGGCGCCCUGGCUCGCAACUGACGCUCAGACACGACAGCAUGGGGAGCGGAACGGG
rnacentral:rRNA from 1 species